ACGAACGCUGGCGGCGUGCUUAACACAUGCAAGUCGAACGGAAAGGCCCUGCUUGCAGGGUACUAGAGUGGCGAACGGGUGAGUAACACGUGGGUGAUCUGCCCUGCACUUCGGGAUAAGCCUGGGAAACUGGGUCUAAUACCGGAUAGGAGCCAUUUUUAGUGUGAUGGUUGGAAAGUUUUUUCGGUGUAGGAUGAGCUCGCGGCCUAUCAGCUUGUUGGUGGGGUAAUGGCCUACCAAGGCGGCGACGGGUAGCCGGCCUGAGAGGGUGGACGGCCACAUUGGGACUGAGAUACGGCCCAGACUCCUACGGGAGGCAGCAGUGGGGAAUAUUGCACAAUGGGCGCAAGCCUGAUGCAGCGACGCCGCGUGGGGGAUGACGGCCUUCGGGUUGUAAACUCCUUUCGCUAGGGACGAAGCUUUUUGUGACGGUACCUAGAUAAGAAGCACCGGCUAACUACGUG
rnacentral:rRNA from 1 species